rnacentral:rRNA from 1 species
GGGCUCGGAGGACAUUACGAAUAGACCUGGGAGAGGCUCGCUGCUGCCGUCAAUGGUGUGCACGCCUUUUCCGAUCCAUUUCAAACCAUCUAUCCACCUGUGAACCUUUUGCGUGAUUGGGAUCUCUUCGACGAUGCCCCGUCUGGUCGGUCUCGACUGACAGUGACGUUGCGGUGGAGAGGUCGACUCCCCUUCAUGUCUAUUAUUGCACACACACCUUGAAAAAACCGUCUCAGAAAGUCAACGGUCGUAGCGGACCAUAAACGUGUCUAUACAACUUUUGACAACGGAUCUCUUGGCUCUCGCAUCGAUGAAGAACGCAGCGAAAUGCGAUAAGUAAUGUGAAUUGCAGAAUUCAGUGAAUCAUCGAAUCUUUGAACGCACCUUGCGCCCCUUGGUAUUCCGAGGGGCAUGCCUGUUUGAGUGUCAUUAAAUUCUCAACCGCUCUCGGUUUGUCUUUCGAGCUGAAGAGUCGUGUUGGAUCGUGGGGGUCAUUCCUUUGCCGGCUGUUCGCGGCCGGCUCCCCUCAAAUGCAUUAGCGACCGUCCUCUGCUGGAUCGUGCACUCGGUGUGAUAGUUCUCAUGCAUCUACGCCGUCGUUGCCAUCCCGGGGCCACUGUGGCCUCAAGGAGGUGAUCAGAAAAGCUUUGUCGCUCACAAAUAGUCCCUAUAUGCGCGCAUAUAUGCACUCAUUUCAUUCGGGACAGCGCUUCGGCGCUCAUCGAUCAUGACUUGACCUCAAAUCAGGUAGGACUACCCGCUGACUUAGCUUUUUAAGGGG